CCACCUUUGCUUCAGUGCGGCUCAGAGCAGGUGUGAGCCCAACCGUCCUGAGCUCUGGGCAGUCAGUCUGUCCCAGCUGGGGAUCCUCUGUGGUUGCCGUCCUCGCUGGAGGUUGGCUGGUUUUAUGCCACAGACAUUUCCUCAGCUGGCCACAGAAUCUGCAGAUGGAACGCUCAGGACCGGGCAUCACGGAGCUUCUCCCUGACUGGGACAGGAUGGUCCAGUAUUGAUUCUUUCUUCACUCCUAUGGAUGACGUCUGAUUUCUGGGCAGCAACAAGGAAGGGACCUGGAGAUCGAGCGCUGCUACUGUAGGCCUGGAAACAAGGGGACCUUUGUGCCAGAUGGGGUCUCUUUGGUUGCAAAACAUCAGAAUAACGGAUUCAAGGAGUCCUUAUUGAAGCAUGCACGAGCCUAUUUAAGGAAGAUCCUGACAGAAACCUAAACCCAUGUCAGUCAAGGAGAUCGAAGGUUCUGGGCAUCUCCACAGCACUGAGAAACUUUUGGGGCUGGAAGCAAUUACGACACAUGAUGAAGGAACUGGAAGUGAUAGCCAUCGCAGCUGGAGAAGAUGAAGCCAAGUGAGAAGAUGAGAACCUGUGGUUUGCUUCUGGAUUAAUAUGAUUUGACGGAUCAAGACCCCCUGAAAGGUUUCUGUGAACACCCCCCAAAAUUAUUUCACCCAAUAAACAGCAGGAAGCAGUUUGGAGGAGAACUACACCCAUAUUCCCU